AUUGAACGCUGGCGGCAUGCCUUACACAUGCAAGUCGAACGGUAACGGGCCUUCGGGUGCCGACGAGUGGCGAACGGGUGAGUAAUGCAUCGGAACGUACCUUUCAGUGGGGGAUAACGUAGCGAAAGUUACGCUAAUACCGCAUAUUCUGUGAGCAGGAAAGCAGGGGAUCGCAAGACCUUGCGCUGAUUGAGCGGCCGAUGUCAGAUUAGCUAGUUGGUGAGGUAAAGGCUCACCAAGGCGACGAUCUGUAGCGGGUCUGAGAGGAUGAUCCGCCACACUGGAACUGAGACACGGUCCAGACUCCUACGGGAGGCAG
rnacentral:rRNA from 1 species